UACGUAGGGUGCAAGCGUUAAUCGGAAUUACUGGGCGUAAAGCGUGCGCAGGCGGUUAUGUAAGACAGAUGUGAAAUGCCCGGGCUUAACCUGGGAACUGCAUUUGUGACUGCAUGGCUAGAAUCUGGCAGAGGGGGGUAGAAUUCCACGUGUAGCAGUGAAAUGCGUAGAUAUGUGGAGGAAUACCGAUGGCGAAGGCAGCCCCCUGGGCUAAGAUUGACGCUCAUGCACGAAAGCGUGGGGAGCAAACGGG
rnacentral:rRNA from 1 species